UACGAAGGGGGCUAGCGUUGCUCGGAAUCACUGGGCGUAAAGCGCACGUAGGCGGCUUUCUAAGUCAGGGGUGAAAUCCUGGAGCUCAACUCCAGAACUGCCUUUGAUACUGGAGAGCUUGAGUCCGGAAGAGGUGAGUGGAACUCCGAGUGUAGAGGUGAAAUUCGUAGAUAUUCGGAAGAACACCAGUGGCGAAGGCGGCUCACUGGUCCGGUACUGACGCUGAUGUGCGAAAGCGUGGGGAGCAA
rnacentral:rRNA from 1 species